GUGAGGAAUUUUCCGCAAUGGGCGAAAGCCUGACGGAGCAAUGUCGCGUGAAGGAUGAAGGCCUAUGGGUUGUAAACUUCUUUUCUCAGAAAAGAAUUAUGACGGUAUCUGAGGAAUAAGCAUCGGCUAACUCUGUGCCAGCAGCCGCGGUAAGACAGAGGAUGCAAGCGUUAUCCGGAAUGAUUGGGCGUAAAGCGUCGGUAGGUUGUUUAAAAAGUAUUCUGUCAAAGAUUAGGGCUUAACCCUAGAUAGGCAGAAUAAACUUUUAAGCUAGAGUUUGGUAGAGGCAGAGGGAAUUCCCGGUGGAGCGGUGAAAUGCGUAGAUAUCGGGAGGAACACCAAAGGCGAAGGCACUCUGCUGGGCCAAUACUAACACUGAGAGACGAAAGCGAGGGGAGCAAAUGGGAUUAGAAACCCGGGUAGUCC
rnacentral:rRNA from 1 species